GGGAAGGUACGCGCCCUACCCGUCGUUGUAGGAGGUCGAUGAGACAGCCCUGGUCCCCUCUGUGGCUCUGUCCGGCGUCCUCCUCGUGGAUGUUACAGGGCCGGCGCCCCCGGUGCUCUGGCACACAACAAAUUGCAGCUUCAGACCAGAAACGAUUGUUUUGAGAAGUCAAUAGGCCCUCUCCUACUACAUUAGGUUAUUCCUUCGGACUGGAUCAAAUCCAGUAGCAAAGACAUACUGCAGUGGAGGUCUAAUCAAAAGAGACUACUUCCAGUUGAUUCAGGAAAAUGAGGAGUCGUGUCGACAUCGGAAGGGGUGGCUCGAUGGAGAUUGAUGUGUGCGCGUCCGAUGGCUAGCGGGCAAGGAGAGACGUUGAUUCCUCAGUUGUGUUCCUUUUUUUCUUCCAACUUUUGUUCAUUCUAACCUGCAGUAGUGCGUUUGCGGUGCCCAGUUUACAUUACAUCGGAAGGGGUGGCUCCAGUGAGAUUGAUGAGUGCUCAGCCGAUGGCUAGGGGGGAGGGUGGGAGACCUCGAUUCCUCAAUGUAGGGUUGGUGUUAGGCCAGGAGCACGGCGGCAUGCGACAAUACGACAUAAGAAAGGGCUGUAGGGCGAGGCGAUGUGCACCAGCCCUAUGCGACUGCAAGGAGUCAUGAUGCUGUUCAUCGCACCUUGUGCCUUGCUCGCUCUGCCUCUGGGUGAAGGUUGAGGGAUCAGAUGAAGCCGGCACUGACGGAGGAAGGGUCAUCAGGGUGAG